UACGAAGGGGGCUAGCGUUGCUCGGAAUCACUGGGCGUAAAGGGCGCGUAGGCGGCGUUUUAAGUCGGGGGUGAAAGCCUGUGGCUCAACCACAGAAUGGCCUUCGAUACUGGGACGCUUGAGUAUGGUAGAGGUUGGUGGAACUGCGAGUGUAGAGGUGAAAUUCGUAGAUAUUCGCAAGAACACCGGUGGCGAAGGCGGCCAACUGGACCAUUACUGACGCUGAGGCGCGAAAGCGUGGGGAGCAAACAGGAUUGAGAAA
rnacentral:rRNA from 1 species